UUAAAAUUUUUUGUGGUUCUGCUUUGAGAAAGAUGCUUCUGCUAUAUAAUUCAUUGUGCCUUGGUUUUGUUUAUUACUAUUCACUCUGUAUGUACUUUAUGCUCUUGUCUAAUAUGUUUUGAUAUUGUGUAUUUUAAUUUUUUCCAGUUCACUUCACCUACUUUUGGUCAGCUGUGAUCAUUAUGUUUUAGGUGUAGCCUGUUUUUGGAUUACCACUAGCAAUCAAUCAAUAUGCAAUGGAGUUUGUAUUCUUUC